rnacentral:rRNA from 1 species
GCACCGGCUAACUCCGUGCCAGCAGCCGCGGUAAUACGGAGGGUGCGAGCGUUAAUCGGAAUUACUGGGCGUAAAGCGCAUGCAGGUGGUUUGUUAAGUCAGAUGUGAAAAGCCCCGGGGCUCAACCUCGGAAUUGCAUUUGAAACUGGCAGACUAGAGUACUGUAGAGGGGGUAGAAUUUCAGGUGUAGCGGUGAAAAUGCGUAGAGAUCUGAAGGAAUACCGGUGGCGAAGGCGGCCCCCUGGACAGAUACUGACACUCAGAUGCGAAAGCGUGGGGAGCAAACAGGAUUAGAUACCCUGGUAG